CGGCGGUUGGCUGAUUGGUAAAGCGGCGAACUCAUAAUUCGUGACAUACUGGUUCGAAUCCAGUACCGCCGA
rfam:Gloeobacter violaceus PCC 7421 DNA, complete genome.